GUAGGUGGCAAGCGUUGUCCGGAAUUAUUGGGCGUAAAGCGCGCGCAGGUGGUUCUUUAAGUCUGAUGUGAAAGCCCCCGGGCUCAACCGGGGAGGGUCAUUGGAAACUGGGGAACUUGAGUGCAGGAGAGGAAAGUGGAAUUCCACGUGUAGCGGUGAAAUGCGUAGAUAUGUGGAGGAACACCAGUGGCGAAGGCGACUUUCUGGCCUGUAACUGACACUGAGGCGCGAAAGCGUGGGGAGCAAACAGGAUUAGAUACCCUGGUAGUCCACGCCGUAAACGAUGAGUGCUAAGUGUUGGGGGGUUUCCGCCCCUCAGCGCUGCAGCUAACGCAUUAAGCACUCCGCCUGGGGAGUACGGUCGCAAAGACUG
rnacentral:rRNA from 1 species